rnacentral:tRNA from 2 species
GCCCACAUAGCUCAGUCGGUAGAGCACACCCUUGGUAAGGGUGAGGUCACGGGUCCGAAUCCCGUUGUGGGCU